UGCCAGCAGCCGCGGUAAUACGGAGGGGGUUAGCGUUGUUCGGAAUUACUGGGCAUAAAGCGCGCGUAGGCGGCGACAUCAGUCAGGUGUGAAAUCCCUCGGCCCAACCGAGGAACUGCGCUUGAUACUGUGUCGCUUGAGGACAGGAGGGGAGCGUGGAAUUCCUGGUGGAGCGGUGAAAUGCGUUGAUAUCAGGAGGAACACCGGCGGCGAAGGCGACGCUCUGGCCUGUUUCUGACGCUGAGGUGCGAAAGCUAGGGUAGCAAACGGGAUUAGAUA
rnacentral:rRNA from 1 species